UACAGAGGUCUCAAGCGUUGUUCGGAUUCAUUGGGCGUAAAGGGUGCGUAGGCGGCGCGGUAAGUCGGUGUGAAUCUCGGAGCUUAACUCCGAAACUGCAUUCGAUACUGCCGUGCUUGAGGACUGGAGAGGAGACUGGAAUUUACGGUGUAGCGGUGAAAUGCGUAGAUAUCGUAAGGAAGACCAGUGGCGAAGGCGGGUCUCUGGACAGUUCCUGACGCUGAGGCACGAAGGUCAGGGGAGCAAACGGG
rnacentral:rRNA from 1 species